AAGAGAUUAGCUUAAUUGGUUAGAGCAUUCGUUUUACACACGAAAGGUUAUAAGUUCAAAUCUUAUAUUUCUUA
rnacentral:tRNA from 2 species